rfam:Dorea sp. CAG:317, WGS project CBGJ01000000 data, contig: 32
GAAAGGGUGCGAAUACCGACGCACCUGGGUGGCGCGAAGCGCAACCCCUAUUAAA